UUUUUUUCGGUCCGCUUUAUUUAUUUUUGUUUGUUUGCUUGUGGAAAAAGAAUUAUGUAUGGUUAAUAUUAUAUUAGAUAUAAUAUAAUAUGGUCAUGAAUCCUUCACUUUCUAUUUAAAUAUUCAGACAGUAUGAUUAAACCCAAACCAUUCAUAUGUCAAAAUCAUUGUCAUGUCUAUUUUUCGUACUAAAAUCAGAACAAAAUAAUAUUAGAUGUUCUUCAAACUGUAUGAGAAGAAUUGGGUGCUUUGCAUGUCCAAUGUGCAGUUUGGUCUGCAAAGACUGCUUUAUUCUCCAGGAGCAUGUUGAGCUUCAUCUACAGGACCAAGCUGCAGGUGUAUUACCUCAUAUCAUAAAUUUUUGUAGGUUUACAAGUAUUCAUUUUACCCUCUUUUUUUAUCACCAGCUUGACUGAUAUCUGAUAUGGUUUGUCUUCUUAAGGGGCUGGUCCUGAGGUCGCCACUUCAACAGAAGUGUCUUCUACAAGCAGGGGUAGAUCAGGUGAAUUUGCAAGGUGGUCGGUUUGGCAGUUCUGAAUAAAAGUGAAUGGCCAAACUGAACUAGAACUGUAUUUUUGGCAUCUCCAGGUGUGAUGCGCUAUGAGUGUCUGUUACAACCCAUUGUUUUGCAUCUUGUCAUUUUGUCUCUUUUAUUUUUUUGUAUUUGAAAGUGUUUGUGUCCAGGUAGGAUGCUGAUUGGCUCCUACAGGUUAAUGACUGGCCCAUCUAGAUUGGUGCAUUCAAUCUUAGGCACACCUUAAAAGCCCUGAUGUCACUUCCUUUCUCCAGUGCAGUGCAGAGUAGAGAGAGAAUUGUUGCUGUUUGGCUGUUUGGCUGUUUGGCUGUUUGGCUGUUUGGCUGUUUGGCUGUUUGGCUGUUUGGCUGUUUGGCUGUUUGGCUGUUUGGCUGUUUGGCUGUUUGGCUGUUUGGCUGUUUGGCUGUUUGGCCUCUGUUGAACUUUGAUACUAUUUUUGUAAGUAGGAACUGAUUGGUAUUUUGACUCUAUUGCUUGUUAUGAUGUGUAUUUGGAUUCUCCUUGUAACUCUGUUUGCCUGAUCCUGUAAAUAGUUGUAUAUUAUUGUAAAUAUAGAGGGUUGGGAGGAAGUAAGGAGUUUGACGCCAUUUUGUUUAUUGUAACCUUUUGAUCUCUGUUUUUGGUUAGGGAGUUAGGUUAAAAUAUUGUACUUUUAUUUUGUUUAGGGUAUAAGAAAGAGGUCUUAAACUACAGAAGUUUUGUUUAUUAUUUUGGCCUGGUCAACUCCUGAAGAAUAUUCCCCAUUUACUUAUUUUGUUGGUUGUAUUUUUGUUUGGCUCAAUUAAAAACCCUCUAAAGAAUCCCCGUCUCCUUCUCUUUUUAUGUCAUGCCUUUACCCCUAGACGGGCGUAACAUGAAUUGGGGGCUCGUCCGUCCAUUCGGAUGAAAUUAGAAGCUUUUUUAUUCCAUCUGAAUGAAGUUGAGUAUUUGGGUACUCACUGUUUUUGCAGAGUUGUGUUUUUCUUGUGUUUGCCUGGUGGUUUUCAUCUAGUGUGGGAGGAAGCUUAUGGUUUACAAUGUCGUUAAAAUUUGAACUUGAGAAAUUUACGAUCGCGCCUACAGAAGAACAGUUUGAAAAGUGUCGGAAGGAUGACUUAUUGUUAAUUAAUUAAAGGAUUUUACCUGGUGAAGCUGAGGUAACGGGUGUUGCAACAAAUCCAGUGUUUUCUGAUGACUUGAACGCUUUAGAAAAGGAGCUCAAGUCUGAUGAGGACAAGCGCAUAGAUCCCGAUAAUCCCUCUUCACCAAAAGAGAAAAUGUUAGCAAUCCGACUAAAGGAGUUAGAUGUGGAGUUAGCCCGACAGCAGUACCAGAGUCAGCUUUUGCAGGUCCGAGCAUUGGAGCUUCAGACAACAAGAGACAUCCGGCUCAAAGAGCUGGAAAAUGAGCAAAAGUCUGGUCAAACACGGCAUCCUUCUUCUCCUGGAUUGCAGGGAAAUACUACUCCUGUGCAGGCUGUUACUUCAUCACCUCUUCCUGCAGCAUCGUAUACUUUACCGGUGAGUCAAACUGAAUUUGAUGUUUCCAGACAAAUUUCGUUAGUUCCUACAUUUAGAGAAAGUGAAGUCGAUACUUAUUUCACUGUUUUCGAACGUAUCGCUGCUACUCUGCAGUGGCCCAAGAAUAUUUGGCCUUUACUGUUACAGUGUAAACUAGUGGGUAAAGCGCAGGAGGUAAGUUCGGCAUUGACUUUAGAACAAAGUCUAGAUUAUGAUGUAAUUAAGUCCUCUGUGUUAAGAGCUUAUGAGCUUGUUCCAGAAGCCUAUCGACAAAAAUUUAGAAAGCAUAUGAAAACCUCCAGCCAAACUUUUGUUGAAUUUGCCAGAGAAAAGACUACUCUGUUUGAGAAGUGGUGUGCAGCAAGUAAAAUCAGCACGUUUGAACAAAUUAAGGAGUUAAUCCUCGUAGAGGAGUUUAAGAAUUGUGUGUCUGAAAAGAUUGUAGUUCAUUUAAAUGAGCAAAAGGUGACCUCACUCACCGAAGCUGCCAUCUUUGCAGAUGAAUUUGUGCUUACACACAAAAUUGUGUUUUUUCCUUUACGUCCUACUCGUCAUGUCACUGAGCGGAAUCCCAAUUCUAAAACUGUGAUUGGCCAGAAUGAUGAGCAGGGUCCUGAUUCUCGUGAGUGUUUUUACUGUCAUGAGAAAGGUCAUUUGAUCGCUUUAUGUCCUACGUUACAACGUAAGAACCAGAGGAAAACACAGACCACACAUAAAAGUGUUGCUUUUGUGCAUACCCACCCUUCAGAGUCUAUGCUAGCGAUUGAUCCCACCUUUGAACCAUUUGUGUGUGAUGGUACAGUCUCGUUUUCUGAGUUAGACACGGAGCAUAAACAUGUACGCAUUUUGAGAUUUUGGGUGCGGCACAGUCGUUCAUCUUGACAGAUGUACUUCCUUUUUCGGCACAGUCCAGCUGUGGUUCAGAUGUCCUAGUUCUGGGAAUUGAACUUGGGGUAGUUAGGGUUCCGCUCCACAAGAUCUAUUUGCGUUCUCAUCUUGUGACUGUACAGCUAUUUUAACUAACCCAAUCUCAGUUGCCACUGAAGGGCAUUUCUCUCAUUCUUGGUAAUGAUUUAGCCGGAAGUAAGGUGUCUUGUCUUCCUGAAGUAGUUGAUAUACACUGUGUAUCAAAGAGUAAUGUGCUAUUGACACAGGAGUUUCCUAAGGUAUUUCAUUCCUGUGUUGUUACACGAGCACAAGCUCGUAAGUUUGAAGAAGAACUUGAUCUGUCCGACUCAUUUGUGUGUUCUGAUCAGUCAGAUGUUGAGACUAGUUUAAACAUAGACAAACAAAUUUUGAGUUUUGGGCCAAAUGUUGAUUUUCCUUUUGAUAGGAAGCACCUAAUCGAAACACAAAAAUCUGAUGGUACACUGACGACUUGUUUUAAUGCUGUGAUGGAUAAAACCUUGUUAGAUGAUCAUGUUGUUGCUUAUUUUCUAGAUGAUGGAGUACUUAUGCGUAAAUGGAGUUUGGAAGGAAAAUGUAACUGGAACUCUGUUUUCCAAGUAGUUGUGCCUAAUUCUUACAGAGAAUAUGUUCUACAUGUUGCUCAUGACCAUGAAUUGUCUGGACAUUUGGGGAUCAAGAAAACCUAUAACAAUCUGCUAAGACACUUUUUCUGGCCUGGCAUGAAAGCUAGUGUAACUAAGUAUUGUCGUUCGUGUCAUGCUUGUCAGGUUGCUGGAAAGCCUAAUCAGGUUGUUGCCCCAGCACCAUUAAAGCCUGUUCCGGUAAUGAGCGAACCUUUUGAGAAACUGGUAAUAGAUUGUGUAGGUCCCUUGCCGAGAACUAAGUCCGGCCAUUCGUAUCUGUUGACUUUAAUGUGCUCUGCUACCAGGUUUCCAGAAGCAAUUCCGCUAUGCACCUUGAAAUCUCCUGCAAUUGUGAAGUCCAUCAUUAAGUUCUGCACCACUUUUGGUAUGCCAAAAAUAAUUCAGUCAGAUCAAGGAUCUAAUUUCAUGUCCCGUGUGUUUCGUAAGGUAAUGAAAGAAUUGAAUAUCAAACAUUGCAUAUCAUCCACAAUCACAAAGCGUGUUAGAGAGGUUCCAUCAAACUCUUAAGUCUAUGCUUCGAACUUACUGUCUUGAACAUGAGAAGGAUUGGGAUGAAGAGGUUCCCCUUUUGUUGUUUGCUGUCAGAAAUACGGUCCAGGAAUCCCUUGGAUUCAGCCCAGCUGAAUUGGUCUUUGGACAUUCUCCUCGUGGUCCUUUAAAGAUGUUGCAAGAACAACUUCUUUCUCAAAGUCACUCAGUUAAAGAACAGAAUGUAUUAGAUCAUGUGAGUCAUUUCCAUGAAAGAUUGCAUUCUGUCUGGAAGUUGGCACGGCAAAGCUUAGAAAGUUCACAGUCUCGGAUGAAAAGUAGAUAUGAUGAAAACACUGUUCAACGCUCAUUUGAGCCUGGUGAUGAAGUUCUUGCAUUACUGCCUUUGCCUGGGUCAGCUCUUCAAGCUAGAUUUGUUGGUCCAUAUGUGAUUGAGGAAAAGUUAAGUGACACUGACUAUGUGGUAAAAAACCCUGACUGGAAGAGGAAAGAGAGGGUAUGUCAUAUUAACAUGCUAAAAUUGUAUGUUUCUCGUCCUAAGCCCGAAUGCACCGUUCCACUACCUGUUAUUGUAGCUGGGAGUGCAGUCUCCUCUGAGUAUUCACCUAGUGUAGAUGAUCUACGAAUUGGAAGUACCUGUUUGUCUGACAUUUUCCUGAAAAAUUCUGAAUCCCUUGCUGUAAUCAGUUCAAAACUGUCUCAUUUAUCUAGUUCAUCUCAAAAGGAACUAAUGCAGUUGAUUGAAAAGUAUUAUUCACUGUUUUCUGAUGUGCCCACUGUAACAAAUGUGUUGGAGCAUGACAUUGAUGUGGGUGAUCAUCGUCCUGUUAAGCAAAAUGCUUAUCGCAUCAACCCAGUAAAGCGUGAGAUCAUGCAGAAGGAAACGCAGUACUUGAUUGAGCAUGGUUUAGCUGUGCCAAGUUCAAGUCCCUGGUGUUCCCCAUGUCUUUUAGUUCCUAAAUCAGAUGGAACGUCACGCUUCUGCACAGAUUACCGAAAAGUUAAUCAGUUGACUAAAUCAGACUGAGAUUCCUAGAAUAGAUGAUUGUGUUGACCGCACUGGUCAGGCCAAAUUCGUGACACAGCUUGAUUUACUAAAAGGAUAUUGGCAGGUGCCACUCACUGAUCGUGCUUCAGAAAUCUCCGCUUUCGCUACUCCAGAUGUCUAUGAAGUAAGGAGUUUGACGCCAUUUUGUUUAUUGUAACCUUUUGAUCUCUGUUUUUGGUUAGGGAGUUAGGUUAAAAUAUUGUACUUUUAUUUUGUUUAGGGUAUAAGAAACAGGUCUUAAACUACAGAAGUUUUGUUUAUUAUUUUGGCCUGGUCAACUCCUGAAGAAUAUUCCCCAUUUACUUAUUUUGUUGGUUGUAUUUUUGUUUGGCCCUCUAAAGAAUCCCCGUUUCCUCCCUUCUCUUUUUAUGUUAUGCCUUUACCCCUAGACGGGCGUAACCGUGUCCAAUGUGUUCUCUGAGUUGUUCCAGUAGCUCCUCCCUUCAAGAGCACGUUGAGCUACACCUGGAAUAUGGCUCCGCAUCUGUAACCGGACAUUCAUCUGAAGACCUGACUCUGGCCAGGAAGCUUCAGGAGGAAGAGGAGCAAAAGUGGAGGGAGGCUGCAACUAGACGGGAAGCUGAGGACUUUAAGUAGCUCCAGAAGCAGUUUGGGCUUGAUAACAGUGGUGGUUAUCGCAAGCAGAUGGAGAGGAAUAUGGAGAGGGCUGUGUCUCGAGGUCAGAUGGUUCCUGCAGAGUUCCACAGGAAAAAAGCAGAGAUGCUUGAAUCUCUGGCCUCCGGGGUGGA